GAGAAUGCAGGCAUGAGUAGCGUGUGACGGGUGGGAAUCCCGUCCGCCGAUUAUCCAAGGGUUCCAGGGUCAAGUUUGUCUGCCCUGGGUGAGUCGGGUCCUAAGGCGAGGCCGACAGGCGUAGUCGAUGGGUAACCAGUUGAUAUUCUGGUACCGGCUUGUCACCGUCCGUGUCGAGGUGUGUGAUGCUAAGCAUGUGAGCUUGUCUUGGGAG
rnacentral:rRNA from 1 species